AGGCAUAAAACGCUCUGCGAGGUCGGGGAUACAAGGUUACGUCGCCGCUCGGCGCAAGAGUCGACCGCCGCCAUUUGGUCCGCGCGACUCGACCGCGCCGCAUCCAGCCCGGGCCCGCCCCGGCCCGCUCCCGGGCCUGCGCCCUCCGCCGCCCCGGACGAGCGGCCGAGCUGCCUGCGCCCGCCGCGCAGCACGUGUCGCCACGGCUCGGCCCCCUCCCGGCCGAGCCGAGUGCUGCGAGCCCUCGUCGGGGCCUGGUCCUCGGCGAGGCGCGCCGAGCGGGGACGCGCGGGCGAGGCGCGCGGUGGCGCCGCGCCGCGUAGGCCUAAACUCACGGCUCCCGCGCGGCCGCGCCAAAUUUUCGCAAAACUAUCGAGCUAAAACAUCCAAUAAGAUUCUUAUAGGCCUAUUUAGUGAACGCUCGAUUCUGGAUCUUCGGACGCCGGACUCUGUGAUUGAAGUGGAUUUUUGAAAAAAAUCGCGACAUUUCAACGAUUUUGAAUACAUUUAGUGAAGUGCCAGCGCUGGGCCUCGGAGCGUGCGAGCGGAGCGGAGCGGCGAUUGCGUCGUCGGAUGGUUUGUGCACGAUCGCUCGAGCGGAUUUGAUGAAGUUAUGGAAUGUUGGAAAAUGAUUAGGAUAAGUGAAUUUUUGGAUUCACCGAUUUUGAAAAAUUGCACCCAAGCCGGAGCGGGUCAGCUUGUGUUGUGUAAAUACAUAAUAUAUUAUAGAUGACCUGGAUGUCACACGACGCACCGCCUGCUCCUGGAAGACCAAGACGACAGUGUCGCCCGCACCCGACUAACUGACUGCUAUCCUGCUGCUUAGCGCCUCACGCCUCAAUACAAAAGAUAUUAUGAUGCUUUGGAGGGUGAUAUUAUAGUGUAGGUACAAGACGAUGACAAGUAGAUGAACCGUUUCACAGGUAGCAUGUGAAAAUUGUGAAACUCUCAUGCAUGCAGGUUUCCUCAUCAUGAUUUGCUUAUCGAAUCAAAAAAAAAAGAAAGCC